GCACUGCUGAGGAGUCCCAUAAUAGGAAGAAAUGGCCGUCCAGUGC
rfam:Schistosoma mansoni, Puerto Rico, WGS project CABG01000000 data, contig: 0076